UACGUAGGGGGCAAGCGUUGUCCGGAAUCAUUGGGCGUAAAGAGCGCGUAGGCGGCCCUGUAAGUCCGCUGUGAAAGUCAAGGGCUCAACCCUUGAAUGCCGGUGGAUACUGCAGGGCUAGAGUCCGGAAGAGGCGAGUGGAAUUCCUGGUGUAGCGGUGAAAUGCGCAGAUAUCAGGAGGAACACCGAUGGCGAAGGCAGCUCGCUGGGACGGUAGCUGACGCUGAGGCGCGAAAGCGUGGG
rnacentral:rRNA from 1 species